UACGGAGGGUGCGAGCGUUGCUCGGAAUUAUUGGGCGUAAAGCGUACGCAGGCGGCUCGGUAAGUCGAGUGUGAAAUCCCGAGGCUCAACCUCGGACGUGCAUUCGAUACUGUCGAGCUUGAAUGCGGGAGAGGGAAGCGGAAUUCCUGGUGUAGAGGUGAAAUUCGUAGAUAUCAGGAGGAACACCGAUGGCGAAGGCAGGUCUCUGGGCCACUACUGACGCUGAGAAGCGAAAGCAUGGGGAGCGAACAGG
rnacentral:rRNA from 1 species